rnacentral:rRNA from 1 species
CCUACGGGGGGCAGCAGUGGGGAAUCUUCCGCAAUGGGCGAAAGCCUGACGGAGCAAUGCCGCGUGAGUGAAGAAGGCCUUCGGGUUGUAAAACUCUGUCCUUAUCGAAGAGAGGUGGGUAUGUGAAUAAUGUACUCAUAGGACGGUAGAUAAGGAGGAAGCCCCGGCUAACUACGUGCCAGCAGCCGCGGUAAUACGUAGGGGGCGAGCGUUGUCCGGAAUCACUGGGCGUAAAGGGCGCGUAGGCGGUUUAAUAAGUCAGUGGUGAAAACUGAGGGCUCAACCCUCAGCCUGCCACUGAUACU